UGGAAAGUGACAUAAAAACAAUAAUGAUAAAAAUACAUAUAAAGAUAAUCAGAAUGAAGAUUGUAUUAAAAAUAUUUGGGUAAUUUUUUUUUUAUUCGUGCUGUUACUAUGGAAACCACGUGCUUUUAGACUGACUGAUUUGUACUUCAUUUUAACAUGAAAAUUUUUGUAUAUACAAAUACAAUAUUAUGUUAAAUCAUCUUAAAACUCUAUCAAUAAUUUUUUAUACUACAAAACACUUUGCUGUAAUUUAAACAUCAUUAAGAAUUUACAUUUACUUCAUCCUUUGAUAUUUAUACCCGUUUUAUCUUGUUAAUUUUGCAUGCAAACACCAGUCAAUUCAGUGCACUUUUAUAAAAUUCUACAACCAUGUCAAGGUUAACUAACACUACAUAUUUAUAUUAUGACAUUUGUUCUAGAAGAAUCAAUUAAAAAAUCUUUAGGCAAGUCACCCGUUUAUAAAUAAAUACUGAUUUUAUACACCUGGAAACGUGCAAGUUUUACUCUAAUUACCUCCCUUUGAUAUGACUCUCUUACGAAAAGAGGUAAAAACGGUAUUUUGUUUACAUUGUUUACAUCCAAUAUUUCUACGGAGCUGAAGUGAGACGACUAUGGAUUUUAGUUUCUGGAUUAUAGAAGUGUUUAUUUAGUUCAUAAUCAUGAUAACUUAGUGAGUUGUAAACAGAAAAUGUGUCAAAUGCAAGCCAAAUGAAUCAACUUAAAUGAGGAUGGACACUAAAAUCUACCAUGUCUACACAAAAAUUAAAAUAUUCAUACCAGACAGAUGACAGAGACAAUGCUUGAAAUAUUUAAAUUUCGCAAAAGAAGAG